UACGGGGGGGGCAAGCGUUGUUCGGAAUUACUGGGCGUAAAGGGCGCGUAGGCGGCCUGUUAAGUCGAACGUGAAAUCCCCGGGCUCAACCCGGGAACUGCGUCCGAUACUGGCAGGCUUGAAUUCGGGAGAGGGAUGCGGAAUUCCAGGUGUAGCGGUGAAAUGCGUAGAUAUCGGGAGGAACACCAGUGGCGAAGGCGGCUAUCUGGACGAAUACUGACGCUGAAGUUCGAAAGCGUGGGGAGCAAACAGG
rnacentral:rRNA from 1 species